AGCGAACGCUGGCGGCAGGCCUAACACAUGCAAGUCGAACGAACCCUUCGGGGUUAGUGGCGGACGGGUGAGUAACACGUGGGAACGUGCCUUUAGGUUCGGAAUAACUCAGGGAAACUUGUGCUAAUACCGAAUGUGCCCUUCGGGGGAAAGAUUUAUCGCCUUUAGAGCGGCCCGCGUCUGAAUAGCUAGUUGGUGAGGUAAUGGCUCACCAAGGCUACUAUCAGUAGCUGGUCUGAGAGGAUGACCAGCCACAUUGGGACUGAGACACGGCCCAAACUCCUACGGGAGGCAGCGGUGGGGAAUCUUGCGCAAUGGGCGAAAGCCUGACGCAGCCAUGCCGCGUGGAUGAUGAAGGUCUUAGGAUUGUAAAAUCCUUUCACCGGUGAAGAUAAUGACUGUAGCCGGAGAAGAAGCCCCGGCUAACUUCGUGCCAGCCGCCGCCGUAACAC
rnacentral:rRNA from 1 species